GAUGAAGAACGUAGCGAAAUGCGAUACUUGGUGUGAAUUGCAGAAUCCCGUGAACCAUCGAGUCUUUGAACGCAAGUUGCGCCCGAAGCCACUAGGCCGAGGGCACGCCUGCCUGGGCGUCACACGUCGUUGCCCCCCCCCCAUCUACUCCUUCGGGAUUGCGGGGGGCGGAUGAUGGCCUCCCGUGCGCCUAGCCGCGCGGUUGGCAUAAAUACCAAGUCCUCGGCGACACACGCCACGACAAUCGGUGGUUGCGAAACCUCGGUUGCCCGUCGUGUGCGUUCGUCGCGCAUCGAGGGCUCGAAAAAAUGCUCGGCUCCGGCUCGGCUUUCAACGCGACCCCAGGUCAGGCGGGGUUACCCGCUGAAUUUAAGCAUAUCAAUAAGCGGAGGA
rnacentral:misc_RNA from 1 species